GUUUCAAGAUGAGGUUUCCCACCCACCUUGGUGGGGUAAGGCCCCCAGAAGACGACUGGGUUGAUAGGCCGGAAGUGGAAGCGCAGCAAUGUGUGGAGCUGACCGGUACUAAUAGGCCGAGGGCUUGCUCAC
rnacentral:ncRNA from 1 species